rnacentral:snRNA from 1 species
GUGCGCUGGAUUAUGACUGA